GCUACAGGGAGAGAACGGAGAAGACGGCCUGGAAGGAAUCGACGGCGAGCAGGGAGAGACGGGACUUGAUGGAGCUCGAGGAGAUAAAGGACACCCAGGAAACCCAGGUAUCCCGGGUAUCAGAGGGGAGACGGGGCCUAAAGGACAGCGAGGACUGAGAGGAGAUCCGG